GCGCUCUCUUUGGCAGCCCAUGUUCUAAAACUGGAACGAUAUAGAGAAGAUUAGUCUGGCCCCUGUGCAAAGAUAACACACAAAUUCAUAAAAUAUUUUAUAUUUUU
rnacentral:snRNA from 1 species